AGAUAUACUGUCCAAAAUUAUAAUUUCAUAUAGUGAGGUGCUGCUUCGAUACCGGGUUAAACAGGCUAAUCAGUAGAUUAAACUCCGCCCGUAUAAAUCUGCAAGGUGAUCUGUUGUGAUCCAAGAAAAGUGCCGUGAAGCACUACAAGCUUAAGGAAGUUGCUC